GCUAAUACCGCAUAAGCGCAUAGCUUCGCAUGAAGCAGUGUGAAAAACUCCGGUGGUAUACGAUGGAUCCGCGUCUGAUUAGCUGGUUGGCGGGGUAAAGGCCCACCAAGGCGACGAUCAGUAGCCGGCCUGAGAGGGUGAACGGCCACAUUGGGACUGAGACACGGCCCAAACUCCUACGGGAGGCAGCAGUGGGGAAUAUUGCACAAUGGGGGAAACCCUGAUGCAGCGACGCCGCGUGAGUGAAGAAGUAUUUCGGUACGUAAAGCUCUAUCAGCAGGGAAGAAAAUGACGGUACCUGACUAAGAAGCCCCGGCUAACUACGUGCCAGCAGCCGCGGUAAUACGUAGGGGGCAAGCGUUAUCCGGAUUUACUGGGUGUAAAGGGAGCGUAGACGGCAGCGCAAGUCUGGAGUGAAAUCCCAUGGCUUAACCAUGGAACUGCUUUGGAAACUGUGCAGCUAGAGUGCAGGAGAGGUAAGCGGAAUUCCUAGUGUAGCGGUGAAAUGCGUAGAUAUUAGGAGGAACACCAGUGGCGAAGGCGGCUUACUGGACUGUAACUGACGUUGAGGCUCGAAAGCGUGGGGAGCAAACAGGAUUAGAUACCCUGGUAGUCCACGCUGUAAACGAUGAUUACUAGGUGU
rnacentral:rRNA from 1 species